CGCCUCCGGUAUUGCUGGCCCCGACGACCUGCGCGGGACGACGAGGCUGAACUGGGACUGAGGGGCGGCCUGCAGAUGGUGCGGCGGAGAGUCUGCGAGCUCGACUGUGAGGGAGAGAGAGAGAGGGGAAAGGAAGAUUGCUGAGUUCCCGGACAACUUGACGCAAUAGAUUUGCCUUGAAUGAGAAAACUUCCCAGUCCUCGCCGGCUGCUGCUCCCUCGAGGCCCCAGGAGUCUUGAUCCAUAACCUGAGAGAAGCCAGCACCUGAGCCCACCUGCAGGCCCCGCGGACACUUAUCUCAAGCCUGCCAGAGACGGUGUUGCGGUGAGCACAGUUAUGGCGGCAGGUUUCCCCACAACUGGAUACGAUCUGACGUGCGUUGCCGGUCCCUCAUGAAUACCUGAGUGACUAUAUAUUGCAGCAGGCCAAGUGUGAGUGGGCCUGUAACACCGGGAGUGGCGUGAGGCAGCGCGGAGCCACCUAGUGAGAUGCACCUGUGACUCUUAACACUUCCGAGUUCCUGCAAGGUCGAGUGUCAUCGUGGAAUGCAUGGGUGAAGCGUGACAUUGCAGAUGGUAUGGCUUUAUAUUACUGGCGCUCGUGUCUAGAGGACGUGAGGGGGGCGAGAGAGACAGGCAGACACUGACGGGCAAGGCUGAAAGGCAGCAGCAAGACGGACAGAAUAAAAUGCGACGGAGACGACUCAGACAGGCAGCAAGGCUGGUGCGGGGAGGCACACCUGCACGGCGCCUGGUCCUCCUGCCGGUGAAUUAUGUGUUCCUGAACUUUUGUAUUUCCAGAAGGGUUGGUAUUCUUUACGUCACAUAUAUACUACUGUCUUUUCCUUUUUCUUGUGUUGAUAUUUAUGUUUGAUUAAUAUACUGGAAAACUGUAUAAUGACUGAUAUAAAUAUUUCACGAUCACUUGAAAAAAAAAAAUAAAUAAAAAAUACGUAGUAAUUGAAAACCAUGACACAAUGGGAAAGUAUUGUAAUAAAAAUGUAAGAACUGCUAUUUGUGGAUGAGCAUGAAUAACUGAUAUGAGAUUUUUAUAUAUGAUAUAUUUCUGUGCACUUUGUAACAUACUAGACUUAUUAUUAUUUUUAAAGAUUUGUAAUAUUCACGAAAUAUCUAUGAUAACCUUUAUAUCUUUAUUAAGAAAAUUGUUUACUCUAAAAUAAUAUGAAUAUAUGAAGAAAACACAAGUAAUAACAAACAAACAAAAUGAAGUAAUGCAAAUAAAACACACCUUGUAUAGUUUCUGACCAAAAUUUCCCUCUUUUUUUUCUCUAAAAUGUAAAGAAAGUAUCAUCAGAUCAGAAUAAAGACUACGAUAAAACACUGAAUUUUAGGAAUGAGAAUGAUACAUUACUCUACUUUUGGCCGUGACUCCUCCUACUGUAGCUUUUGUUUUGUGUUUAUUUGUUUGUACAUUUGCUCACUACCUCUCUACCCUCAUAAGUGUCAAGUUUUCGCGUUAGAGGGAGAGUUUUAUUUGCUGAUGUAAAACUUGCAGUGAUCUUUCCGUGUUAUUUGUUUUUUCUUUUCAUUUU